AAUGACCUUAUUAUUGUAUCAUGUUUUUGAUCAGAGUUUGUUUUACAGAAUGAAAUGUCUGAAGGAGUGCUCAUCCAAGACUGGUGAUUCCAUACUUUUUGCCAGGGGUUGUAUCUCUUGAUAUACAUUGAUCACCAAAAUACAUGAGUACUUCGUUCCUCACUAUUUCACUGUCUGCCUCAUGGUCCUCAUCUUCUUCAUUGCUGUUAUGCCCCUCUGAGUCUGAGCCUAACAAUAGCUGCGGUCCAAUCUGAAGGGAGCUGCCCAACUAGGCAGCAUUUGCAGGCAGCAUAGGCGCGCUCCCGAGAAAAGGACUGUCCCAUUCGGAAGGUAGCAUGUGCUGCCUACCUGGGCAGCUGCCUUAUUUUACCCCAAUUCUGAAGGCAGCGUGAGAUGUAUCCUUCAUGGCGAAGGCAAUCCCAUGAUUCAUUUCACCAGCUCAGAGUUCCAGCGCUCAGAUUUAAAAACAUGGCGGACGGAGCCGGCCUGCCACAGAGUUUCUGUACAAAUGGAUGAACGUGGGCCGGGGAAGGUGAACGCUGGUCAGACCGGCUGGAGGCAGCGUUAGCUCCCUUUAUGAAUAUAUAUUUUUUUCUUUGAAUGUAAUAAAGUUUUCUCUCUUAACAUUA